CAUGACGGAUGUGUUGUUACCUACUCUUACCACCCUGGGGCUGUAAGGGAAAUCUGCCCUAUGUUUAUACAAGAGACCACAGGAAACUUCUUUGAUCAGAGGAGUCUCUGGGGGAAGGCAGCUCCAGCGUGCACGGUGGUCCGGGGGAGGACAGGAAGGAGAAAGUGCCCAGCCCCCACCUCAGCCAGCUUGUGGUCCUGACAGCCAGCGAGACCCUCUACGGCCUGGCCCAGAGGGUGGUCGCCACAGAGUCACUGGUGUUUCUGGCCGAGCAGUUUGAGUUCUUGCAGUCUCACCUAGACACCAUGAUGCCUACAGCCAAGAAGCCGUUCCUCCAGCAGUUCUACUCACAGACUGUCUCCACGGCCAGUGAGCUACGUAACCCAUAUACUGGGUGGUGGCGGCCAAGGCUUUAGAGUACGAACAGAUGCUGCUGCUGAGGCUGGAGUUAAGUGGAGCAUUAGGG